rnacentral:rRNA from 1 species
ACCCGCUGAACUUAAGCAUAUCAAUAAGCGGAGGAAAAGAAACCAACAGGGAUUGCUCUAGUAACGGCGAGUGAAGCAGCAAUAGCUCAAAUUUGAAAUCUGGCGUCUUCGACGUCCGAGUUGUAAUUUGUAGAGGAUGCUUCUGAGUGGCCACCGACCUAAGUUCCUUGGAACAGGACGUCAUAGAGGGUGAGAAUCCCGUAUGCGGUCGGAAAGGCGCUCUAUACGUAGCUCCUUCGACGAGUCGAGUUGUUUGGGAAUGCAGCUCUAAAUGGGAGGUAAAUUUCUUCUAAAGCUAAAUAUUGGCCAGAGACCGAUAGCGCACAAGUAGAGUGAUCGAAAGAUGAAAAGCACUUUGGAAAGAGAGUUAAAAAGCACGUGAAAUUGUUAAAAGGGAAGGGAUUGCAACCAGACUUGCUCGCGGCGUUCCGCCGGUCUUCUGACCGGUCUACUCGCCGCGUUGCAGGCCAGCAUCGUCUGGUGCCGCUGGAUAAGACUUGAGGAAUGUAGCUCCCUCGGGAGUGUUAUAGCCUCUUGUGAUGCAGCGAGCGCCGGGCGAGGUCCGCGCUUCGGCUAGGAUGCUGGCGUAAUGGUCGUAAUCCGCCCGUCUUGAAACACGGACCAAGGAGUCUAACAUCUAUGCGAGUGUUCGGGUGUCAAACCCCUACGCGUAAUGAAAGUGAACGGAGGUGAGAACCGCAAGGUGCAUCAUCGACCGAUCCUGAUGUCUUCGGAUGGAUUUGAGUAAGAGCAUAGCUGUUGGGACCCGAAAGAUGGUGAACUAUGCCUGAAUAGGGUGAAGCCAGAGGAAACUCUGGUGGAGGCUCGCAGCGGUUCUGACGUGCAAAUCGAUCGUCAAAUUUGGGUAUAGGGGCGAAAGACUAAUCGAACCAUCUAGUAGCUGGUUCCUGCCGAAGUUUCCCU